CGGCCACGCCGUGAGGGGAAGAGGCGGGAGCGCCGUGAGGGGAGGAGGAGCCGCCAUGACGCGACGAGGCGGGACUGUCGUGACGGUUGGCAACACCCGAGUGACCAUAGACUUCUACACUCCCUGAUUAUGAAAUGCAGAGCAGCUGAAUUCCAUAGGAGAGCUCUUUCCAGAGUCUGGGAGCAUCACACAGGAUGAAGGCAGAGGUCCAGUGGAGCUGGUGGUCCUUGUGUUCCUCAGGAGUGAGAAGUGGUGUGGCCAAACUGACUCGGGAAGGUUUUUGCAUCAUGUUUUGGUUAAACUCCCACUGCGCUCGGAGGAAGGCGCUGGCUGACUCCGCUUCCCACCCCAGGGGACGGUCCUGCCCGCGGUGAUGGGCGCGAUGCCCGAGGAGCGGGAUCGGGAUCGGGAUGGGGACGGCGCCUCUCCCUCCCUCGGCCCCGCAGUGCGGAGACGCCCGGGACGCCUUCGGUCACAUCCAGGGUGAGCGAACCCGAGUGCGGGUGGCUCGGGGCC